rnacentral:rRNA from 1 species
AGUGAACGCUGGCGGUAGGCCUAACACAUGCAAGUCGAACGGCAGCACAGUAAGCGCUUGCUCUUACGGGCGGCGAGUGGCGGUCGGGUGCGGAAUACAUCGGAAUCUACUUUUUCGUGGGGGCUAACGUAGGGAAACUUACGCUAAUACCGCAUACGACCUACGGGUGAAAGCAGGGGAUCUUCGGACCUCGUGCGAUUGAAUGAGCCGAUGUCGGAUUAGCUAGUUGGAGGGGUAAAGGCCCACCAAGGCGACGAUCCGUAGCUGGUCUGAGAGGAUGAUCAGCCACACUGGAACUGAGACACGGUCCAGACUCCUGCGGGAGGCAGCAGUGGGGAAUGUUGGACAAUGGGCGCAAGCCUGAUCCAGCCAUACCACGUGAGUGAAGAAGGCCUUCGGGUUGUAAAGCCCUUUUGUUGAGAAAGAAAAGCAGCAGGUUAAUACCCCGCUGUUCUGACGGUACCCAAAGAAUAAACACCAGCUAACUUCGUG